GGGUUUAGGAUUUAUGGUUUAGGAUUUAGGAUAUAGGGGUUUAGGGUUUAGGGGUUAGCGUUUUAGAAUUUUACGGUUUUAGGAUUUAGGGUUUUAGGAUUUUAUGUUUAGGAUUUUAGGGUUUAGGAUUUAGAAAUUUGGGGUUUAAGAUUUAGGAUUUAGGGUCUUAAGGUUUGGGGUUAGGGUUUAGGUUUUAGGGUUUA
rnacentral:lncRNA from 1 species